AGUGAACGCUGGCGGUAGGCCUAACACAUGCAAGUCGAACGGCAGCACAGUAAGAGCUUGCUCUUACGGGUGGCGAGUGGCGGACGGGUGAGGAAUACAUCGGCAUCUACUUUUUCGUGGGGGAUAACGUAGGGAAACUUACGCUAAUACCGCAUACGACCUACGGGUGAAAGCAGGGGAUCUUCGGACCUUGCGCGAUUGAAUGAGCCGAUGUCGGAUUAGCUAGUUGGCGGGGUAAAGGCCCACCAAGGCGACGAUCCGUAGCUGGUCUGAGAGGAUGAUCAGCCACACUGGAACUGAGACACGGUCCAGACUCCUACGGGAGGCAGCAGUGGGGAAUAUUGGACAAUGGGCGCAAGCCUGAUCCAGCCAUACCGCGUGUGUGAAGAAGGCCUUCGGGUUGUAAAGCCCUUUUGUUGGGAAAGAAAAGCAGCAGGUUAAUACCCCGCUGUUCUGACGGUACCCAAAGAAUAAGCACCGGCUAACUUCGUG
rnacentral:rRNA from 1 species